rnacentral:lncRNA from 13 species
AGCCCUCCAGGCCCCGACGGGGCCCUUGCCUGCUCCCGGCUCGGAGGCAGCGGCGGUUCCCGGUUCGGGUCCGCGGGUGCCUGCCGGGGCCCUGCACGCACCCCGCGCCGCCCUCUAGGCCCCCGGGGCGCGCCGAGGCGCCUCCUUACCUUAGCGAGUCCUCCGCAGCGGGUGUGGCCCGCUCUGCGGGCGGCCCCGGGCCAGGGCCGGGGGGCUGGGGGCGAGGGUGCCGGGCUAGGGGGGAGCGGCAGGGUGAGGGCUGGGGGGGCCGGCACGGUGCCCAGCGGGGGCGAGGGAGGCGUCGGGAGCCCCAGGGCCAGAGGGAGGGCCGGGCCGAGCUGGAGGAGGUGCGCGGCGUGCGGGGCCAGGGAGGGGCGCCGGGCCCCGGGCCGGGGGGCGGGGGUCUCCCUCCUGGGGUCGGCCGGGCGCUCCAGCCUGCGGGGCCCGCCCGGAGCAGGGCUAGGCGCGCGGGAGGGAGGCCCGGCGCCCGGGGAGCCGAGGACUGAGCGCGAGGAUCAGAGGGGCCGUUUUCUCCCCUCCGCUGACAAAUCAAUCAAGGCCGGCCGGGCGCCGGGAGCUGCCACCAGGGCUGCGGCGCGCGGCUCCCCGCUCGCCCCGCACUGCCAGCUGCCGGCCGCCUGGAGUGGGCGCGGGCCGCGGCGCGGGCUGGCUGCGGUCAUUAGGCUGCGGGCGCGUGCUACCGGGGGCGGGGGCGGGGGCGGUGGCGAGCGCCGGGAGGGGGCGGCGCGGCGUCCCCCGCGUCCCCCGCGUCCCCGGCCUCCCCGCCCCGCCCGCCGCCGUCCCGCGCCCGCUCGCGCUCAGCGCCCCCCACCCCCCGCUCCGUGGCUGUCACCAGCUUCGGCGGCUUGUCCCCCCGGCCGUCCCCGCCUGCCUGCCCCAGUCUCUCUCCAUCUCCCGGUCUCUUUGGCGUUUCUCUGCCCUCUUCCUCGCCUCUCCCGGCCUCUCCGGCUGUCCCCGGCUCUCUUCCUCACUGCCUCUCUCUUUUUCUCUCUUACCCCUCUCUCCUCGGCUGCUCUCACCACUUCCUCCCUCCCUCUCCGGCGUCCUUCUACUCCCCUCACUCUCCCCCUUUUCUUGCCUUGCUCAGGGGGACUCGCUGUCUCUUUCUCUGUCUCUCCUAGGAACAGCGGCCCCCAGAAUGCAGCUGCAGCCAUAUCCCUGCUCUGA